rnacentral:lncRNA from 1 species
AUUAUCACAUCUGAAUCCCACAGGCCCACUUCAAAUGCAGGGGAAUACAACUGCAGAUUCUGAAUGGAUUUCCUCAACAAUGCUGCCCGAUUGACUCACAUUUAAAAAACACUUUGAUCGACCCAUCCCUUUGUCACAUGAAGCUAGACGCACUAGAGGAAGCUGUUGGAAACAAAGGUCUGGCUCUAUGGCCAGAUAUGUUGACUUCACCAAAAAGAGAUAUUUCUUGUCUCUUUAGAGGAAGAAUUAUAUGCAAUGGGAAGAUGAAUGUUCCUCUGUCAGAAAGCUACCUUGGAACAGGUGCUCCCAAUUAAUUUUCAUGAGCCACAUUCACCCUGUGGUUAGAUAAUUAAAAAAAUAACCUGG